rnacentral:rRNA from 1 species
CCUACGGGUGGCAGCAGUGAGGAAUAUUGGUCAAUGGGCGCGAGCCUGAACCAGCCAAGUAGCGUGAAGGAUGACUGCCCUACGGGUUGUAAACUUCUUUUAUAAAGGAAUAAAGUGAGGCACGUGUGCCUUUUUGUAUGUACUUUAUGAAUAAGGAUCGGCUAACUCCGUGCCAGCAGCCGCGGUAAUACGGAGGAUCCGAGCGUUAUCCGGAUUUAUUGGGUUUAAAGGGAGCGUAGGGGGGUUGUUAAGUCAGUUGUGAAAGUUUGGGGCUCAACCGUAAAAUUGCGAGUGAUACUGGCAGUCUUGAGUACAGUUGAGGUAGGCGGAAUGCGUGGUGUAGCGGUGAAAUGCUUAGAUAUCACGAAGAACUCCGAUUGCGAAGGCAGCUUACUAAGCUGUAACUGACACUGAUGCUCGAAAGUGUGGGGAGCGAACAGGAUUAGAUACCCCAGUAGUC